CCUACGGGAGGCAGCAGUGGGGAAUAUUGCACAAUGGGGGAAACCCUGAUGCAGCGACGCCGCGUGAGUGAAGAAGGAUUGCGGGAUGUAAAGCUCUAUCAGCAGGGAAGAAGAAAGACGGUACCGGACGAAGAAGCACCGGCUAACUACGUGCCAGCAGCCGCGGUAAGACGUAGGGGGCAAGCGUUCUCCGGAUUUACUGGGUGUAAAGGGAGCGGAGACGGAGAAGCGAGUCGGAAGUGAAAGCCCGUGGCUUAACCACGGGACUGCUUUGGAAACUGUUUGACUAGAGUGCUGGAGAGGUCAGUGGAAUUCCUAGUGUAGCGGUGAACUGCGUCGAUCUUAGGAG
rnacentral:rRNA from 1 species